UGAAUAUGGUCAUAAAAACUCAAACCUUUUUAUCUCCAUCAUUCACCAUGACACCUGGUUUAGUAAUCGAGAAAUUCUUCUACAAUAUCAACUUCCCAAAAUCCCACAUUGCCAUAAAAAGCUUUCAUGUUGAAGUUGUAGAUGAAUCAGGCAAUCAAAUCCCACUUCCACAAACUUACCUUCAUCACUGGGUACUUGUGAGAUAUUACCAACACAAAAAUGCAACAAACCCAACAAUAAAUACUAGCUAUAACGAGCUUCAAGAACCAAACUUUAUCAUUGCUAGCAACAGUGGAGUCUGUGAACGGAACAUUUUACCGGCCUACUACGCCAUGGGAUCCGAAUCAAGAAAACUAUCCACAUUUCUUCCACACCCAUAUGGAAUUGAAGUUGGGAAUCCAAAAGAAAUUCCCACAGAUUAUGAAGAGAGGUGGAGUCUCAAUGUUCAUGCCAUUGAUACAAGAGGAGCAGAGAACAAGUUGGGAUGUAUCGAGUGUCAUUGCCAUUUGUAUAAUAUUACAAAAGAUCGAUCUGGAAGGCCAUUAACGGAAGAUUAUAAAGGAGGUUUGAGAUGUUGUUAUGAUAAAACAAAGUGUAGAGUGAAUGUAUUAAGUGAUGGAGAAGAUUUUCAAGAAAGGAAUUUGUUUGUGAGAUAUAGAGUGAAGUGGGUGGAUUGGAAUGAUUUUGUGAUUCCUGUCAAAAUUUAUUUAUUUGAUGUUACUGAUACUCCGAAGCCAUUGUCAGACUCAACGGAAGCUUCUCAACAACAUCAUUGUCUGGUAAGUUAAACUCUAUUAAUUACUCCUUUUGAUCACAAGUAUUGUUUUAAAUGCCUAAGAUGUAAUUAAAUUUUGUGUUGGAAUAUACAACACAAUAAUAGAUCUGAUACUUGUGUUUGAUUUAUUAAUUUUGUGUUAGAAAGUGAAAACUAACUGUAAGAGAAAAAUUCAUCACAUUAAAUCUAGCAUUAUUUAAUAUGAAAAGUGAAAACUAACUGUGUAUAUAAAGUAUUGAUUUCUAUUCAGUUUGAUGGGUUUUAAAAUUUUCAUUUUAAAUAAAAUCAAAGCAUGCACAGCAUCUCAACCAAUCAUAAUAGAAAAAUGAUUUAGUUAUGUAUCUAAUAGGGCUGUCUAAACUUUAAAAUUGGAGUGUGUUAUCGUUAUUUGUAUCCAAUAUCAAUAUAGUUGCUGUAUUUUCUGUCUAAUAAUAUGUAUGUCCUUUGGACUUAUAAAUUAUUAUUUUUAUAUAUAGUUUCAUAGAUGAUGUUCUACAUAUAUAUAUAUAUAUAACCAUUUAUAUUGUUUUCUUGUAUGUAUAUAUAAUAUAUAGAUUGAGUAUGAUGUAGAAGCAGAGUUUUGCUCCCUCAAAAAUAAGCUUGAUGAUGAUAAAUGUAAUGCUGUGAAAAAGUCGAAGGUAAUGUUUCCAUCAAGUGGGUAUCUCAUCUAUGGAGUGGCUCACCAACACAUUGGUGCAACUGGUGCAACAUUUUACGGACAGGUAAUAUUAACCAAUUAUUAUGUUUAUAUAUUUGCUUUUGCAUUCAUUACCAUAAUUCGUUUCUAACUAGUUUUUUGUUUUUGAAAAUGGAGCUUAAAUAAUUAGCUUUAUGUUGUUAUCAGGAUGGAAGAGUUUUAUGCUCUUCAUCUCCAAUUCAUGGGAAAGAAAAUGAGGAAGGAUAUGUGAUUGGAAUGACAACUUGUUAUCCAAAGCCAGGUUCAAUCAAGAUCAACAAAGGAGAAAUGGUAACUUUUGUAUCCAAUUAUAGUUCCACACUGACCCACAGAGGAGUUAUGGGUAUCUUUCACAUUAUUGUUGCUGACAGAAUAUUCAAACCAUCAUCGACACUUUCGGAAGAAGUUGGCAAUAACAACACCAUCGUCAUGUUAUGAUCUAAAAGCUUAGUUUGUACUGUUGUAGCUUUUUGAAUAAGUGAUCUAUAGUAUGAAGUAAAUUAGUAUUUGGUAAAUCUACAGUUUUUAGAUAUUAAAAAGUGGACGUUUUACAACUGUUUACUAUAUAUAUAAAUACUAGCUAGAUUAUAGAUUAUUGUAUUUUGCUUAGAGUUCUAUCAAAAAAACUAACCAGGCCUUUCAGAAGAAGAUGUCUCAUUCUAUCAAAUAUGUUUAAACUAAAUAAAUUUACUAUUUGAAUUAUUAUAUAAAGAUAUAAGGUUAAGAAACAGUCAUAUAUCAAUCACUAAAUACAUAUAAGGUGCAAACAUAUUUUUCCUAACACAACAUAUGAUGCAUAAAUUGUAGAGUAAAUAUAGAGUUUUUUGGUUGUUGCAUCUCUUCUAUUAUCCAACGACGUUAUAUCUAAAUCAUGCACUUCAAUUUUUCAAGAGAGAUACAAAUCUAUUUAAAUUCUCAUUUUAAACAAAGACGCAACAAAUCUAGCUGUUAUCUCAAAAGAAAAAAUUCGUGUAUCUUGUUUGUUUGUUUUCUUUUUCUCUCUUUUAAUUCUCUUUUUGACAUGAGCAAAAUUCAAAACUUGAGGGGAUGUGUUUUUUCUUCUUUUGUACUUUUAGAGCAACAACGUAAAUUAGCAAAAGAUUGAUAAUUUUAAUUUUAAAUGGUAUGUUACAAUUUUUUUUCUCACCAUUUUAGUAGCAUACUCUACAUUAUAAUAGCUAAAGAUCUCAUUAAUAAUAUUAAUAAUAUGUCAUACCUAGACAAAAAGUUAACUAACAAACGUAAUUGGAGUGGGUAAGCAUUUUAGUGAUAAUAAUUAAGUGUGUAUUAUAGCCACACAUUUUUAAAGAUCAAUUGAAAAUAUAACACAAUUCUAUUAGUGAUAGAUAUUCUAUUGUAGAUAGACUAUGACCAAUGAUAUAAGUUUAAUAUAUCAUCAUUACGAUUCUUAUAGUUAUAUUAAUUUAUUAUAUAAAACUUACAUACAAAACGUUCAAGAUUGAUAUUGUAUUUACAAAAACUAAUUGAACAUAUUUUUUAAUAAAAAAUUUAAAUUUUGGUAAAUUAAAAAUACAAAUAUUUGUGUAUUUGAUCUACGAUACUAUUUUUUAAGAAAAAAAAUACGAGAGUGCGGAUUUAAAAAGUAAUAACAAAAUUUUCCGAUAUUGCACUUAAAAUAACAUCAAUUUUUUUAAAAAAUAAAUAUAAUUUUGUUCGCACGUAUAACUCAUCAAUUAAUAUAACAUUAUGCAAAUGACAUUUUUACAUUCAGUGCAACCAAUUCUAUCCUUCAAACCUCUAGUAUCAAUGUGACAUGAAUAUUAAGAACGCCCAUUUGGAACUUCCUUUUCAUUCCCAACUUCAAUUCCAUAUGGGUUUGGAAGAAAAAUUGAUGUUUUAAGAACGCUCACUGCCAUAGAAGUGUGGAAAGGGAAAUGUUUUGGCACCCUCCAUUGUUGCUUACAAUUAUGAAAUUUGGUUCUUGGACGUACUUGAGUGAAAGAGAUAUUCGUGUUUGGAUCUUUUGUGCAUCUCUAUGUUAGUAAUACCUAUAGAAAAUUAAUAUGUUUACUGUAUUAUAUAAACACGGUUUCGUCUAAUCAAAAUCAAUUAACAAUAAUAGGAUUGUAAUAUUUGAUGACCUCUUAUGCCUCUUUGUGGUUAUCGAUAAUUACUGAUACUUUAUUUGACGGCAUCGGAAGACUUCUACAACUUUCCAUAAUCCCUACACAUUUUCUAUGCCACGGUAGAUUGUUUCAAUUCUUGUAGUGGCCUAUAGCUAGCUUUUUGAUAUAUGAACUUCUUCAAUCUCAAAAGUUUGAUGGACAAAUUAAAGAAGUUACAUAUAUAUAGUUUGUGAGGUCUUAUUUUAUUUAUUUUGUAUAAAACUUUUGGUUUAAUAGGAUACUCCCAAAACAUGCAUUCAGUAAGUAAGUAGUACGAGUAACACAUUAUGAUCCCUUCGGCCCUUCUUUACCUAUCCUAUCACAGUCCAAAUAUUCAUAAAGUCUAAUGUCACAGUCAAGUAUUUAAUAAUAUUGGUUAAUAUUUCUUAUGGUCAUGAUGUGCUAAUCGACAGAACUCGAGAUUCAGGUGGGAAGCAAAAUUCCAUUUUAGAUUAUUCGAUUUAAGAAGAGUUGGGGUCAAUGAGAACUCACACCUACCAACAUCAGCAAGGCAGCUUCAGGGCUCUGCAUGCUUCAACACAUCCAACCUUCAUUAAUCUUCUCAAAUAUGCAUGUAUUUUUCAAUUUCCAUAUUUACUAUUAAGCCUUCCAUCUUAUUUAAACCUCUACUUUCCUUAUGAUUAUUCUUUUUUCUUUUCCUGUUAUCACAAUUACUGAUGUUACUUUACUAUUAUUUUAUUGAUUGAAUUGAUCUAUUUUACAUUGGUGUGACUAAAUAAAUAAGAGCCCUAUACAACCUAAAUAAGGUAACAUAUGUAAUUAAGCCUAUAAUGAAGAAUUUACAUUAAUAAUUGAAUUAUUUAAAAUUUAAUCCACCUUUAGGAGAGUACUUUGAAUUUUAACUAGCCUCUGGCCGUAUCUAGACCUCUCCUUUAGUCUGUAAGCAAUGAAACACAAUCAGAAACAUCACAGAUAUCAUACCAAAUUAUACCCUUCGAUAUUCGAUUUGGCUUUUUUUUUUUCUCUGAUCAAUACAUGUGCAUGUCUUCUUCCAAAUGCGUGAAAGGGAUGUAUGGACCAUUAAAAGAAAGAAAGAAAAAUGAAAACUCACGUAAUCUUCUCCAACCCAAAACUAAAGGGGAAAAAAAAAAACUCUAGAAUCAUCUAAUCUACAUCUUUUUAAGUCCGAGUCUUCACAGAGUCACACGUUCAAAAGAAAAAGGAAAAGGUAAACCAUCUGAAUAUCUUCAAUAGUUCAACAAAGAAGUUCUUCGUUUGUCUAAUUGUCUGGGUACUUCUCAUGCACUCCAAUCUUAUUCUUUGAUCCAUUUGUCUCUAUAGUGUGCCACCAACUUUCUGUUCACUAUUGUAUUUCAAUAUCUGUGAUGUUUCUUUUUGUAUGGUAUUCUAGUGUUCGUAUGCUACUUUGUACUAUUGUCAUUCUUCUCGCAUUGCAUGUUUUUGGAGUGGAUUGCAUUUAGUACUUUUAUGUUUAAUUUAAAUAUAUAUCUUAGAUUUUUUGUAUUUUUCAAAAAAAAAAAGUAUCCUCAAUGUAUCUGUAUCCUAAGUUUUUUAAGAUUUAUGUAUUGUUGUAUCAUAUCGUAUUCAUAUUUAUACUUCAUAGCUGAUAGAAGUUUGGGUUUUUAAGAAACUUUGGCUUAUGCAUCAUGACCCGGAUCACAGUAUAGAGAAGAAAUCCAAGUUUUGGGAUUGGAGUCGAAUCCAAAUAAACCAAGGGAAAUUUUUUAAGUACAAGCAAUGUUUCACGUUGGAUAGGGAGAAGGAAAGAUCUAUGAUAUAUAGAAGUGGGAACAAUUAUAUAUGAUGACUUCAGUAGAGCAACAAAAAACUUAGGUUUAAAAUGCACAAUAAUCAUAUACUAUGUGAGAUAUCAAAGAGAUAUGUGGAGAUAGUUUGUUAUCAUUAUCAUUACUUAUUUGAAAAUUUCAACGUAGAAUAUCAAAAUACUACGUUUCCUUUUAUGUUAAAGAUCUCGAAUAAAAAAAAUGAAUAGAUCUAACAGUAUUUGAAAGGAUAUAUAGUAACUUAAGAUUACAAUAUAUUGUUUGUUAUUAAGAAUUUCUGUUUGCAGGUGAAAGAUAUUCCUAACUCAUACAAUUUUAGACAUUUCUCACUCUAAUUUGCAGAGUAAAAUGUUGCUUCCUUUGGUACUUGUAAUGAUGACAAUGAUCUUAUGCUUGGAAGCUGUUGGAACAAACAAUAACUAUCCCAUGAAUAUGGUCAUAAAAACUCAAACCUUUUCAUCUCCAUCAUUCACAAUAACACCUGGUUUAGUAAUCGAGAAAUUCUUCUACAAUAUCAACUUCCCAAAAUCCCACAUUGCCAUAAAAAGCUUUCAUGUUGAAGUUGUAGAUGAAUCAGGCAAUCAAAUUCCACUUUCACAAACUUACCUUCAUCACUGGGAACUUAUGAGAUAUUACCAACACAAAAAUGCAACAAACCCAACAAUAAAUACUAGCUAUAACGAGCUUCAAGAACCAAACUUCAUCAUUGCUAGCAACAAUGGAGUUUGUGGACAGAACGUUUUAAAGGCCUACUACGCCUUCGGAUCCGAAUCAAGAAAACUAUCCACAUUUCUUCCACACCCAUAUGGAAUUGAAGUUGGGAAUGCAAAA
rnacentral:lncRNA from 1 species